GAGCGUUGAAAAGCUCGGGGAUGACUUGUGGGUAGCGGUGAAAUUCCAAUCGAGCCCGGAGAUAGCUGGUUCUCCCCGAAAUAGCUUUAGGGCUAGCCUCAAGGGGAGAGAUACGGAGGUAGAGCACUGAAUGUCCUAGGGGGUAUUGCACCUACCGAAGACUAUCAAACUCCGAAUGCCGUCAUCUUAUACUUGGGAGUCAGACUGUGGGUGAUAAGAUUCAUAGUCGAAAGGGCAACAGCCCAGAUCGUCAGCUAAGGUCCCUAAAUGUAAGUUAAGUGGUAAAGGAUGUGGGAUUGCACAGACAACCAGGAUGUUGGCUUAGAAGCAGCCACUCAUUCAAAGAGUGCGUAAUAGCUCACUGGUCGAGUGAUCCUGCGCCGAAGAUUUCCGGGGCUAAAACUUACU
rnacentral:rRNA from 1 species